UCUCCCACACAGGAGACGGUGGCCGCGCGCUGGGGAUGCCCUCCUCGCCCCACCCGGCCAGGAUCGUACCGCUGUUCAAACCGCGCCCGGUCGCAGGUGCUCGGGUAUCACUUCAGGGGAAGGCCUCAGGAGCGGCGCGGCAGACGGGAGCGUCAAAGACGACCCCGGCGCGGCCCACACCGCGCGCCGCGGCGGGGACAGCAGGGACAGGCCGGGGGAAGAAGCAGCGCCCGGCGGGGAAGGCGGCCGCGGACGGCCGGGGCCGAACUCCAGCCGCCGGACGGACGGCCGGACCGCCGGCGACUCCGGCGGCGGCCAAACGGCGCCGGCAGUGAAGCGACGGGACUGGAAGACAGGGGACGGUAGAACACUAGGUUAUCGGCGGCAGACAGGACGUUCCUUCAGCGUGUCACCGCGGCACAAAUACACCAGAAUUACUUCAGUUGACCGUGUUCAUCAGCGCAGCAUCGCCUUCUUCUUGCCCAGUAAGGUGCAGCUCAUCAGUCAGGUACCGUCAGGGGUGAUGUGACGGGACCGGCCGCGCCGCCCCCUCCCCCCGGGUACGUAUGAGGUACCGCAGUACGGUACCCCAGGGAACUGAGUACCCACGGCCGCAUGGCGACCGGUGCGGAUAGUCGGAGAUUGGUGCUUGGACGAGAGAGGCGGGAAAGUGAUUGCCAAUUGUGUUGAGAGCUUGGGAGGGCGGGCGUCAAUCUGAAGUCUCCCGUUUCGGUUGAGUUUUACGUGCGAAAACGCUUUAGUUAUUUAAAACUUGUGAAGUCGGGCUGGCCAGCCAGUGAUCUAAUUUGAAAACGUCGGGAAUCGGCUGACAGUUUGCUUUGGCGUUACCGACCAAGACGAAGGAAAUGUUACGAAUCUGUCGUUUGUGCUCAUCAGUACCAACUGCGAAGCUAAUUGGAAGUGAUAUGUCUACUUCUAGAGCCUGUCUAGAACCCUUAACUCAAUCAAGUGUAAUUACCAGUGUAAUUCAAGACAUUAGCAGUGUAUUGUGUGUUGAAUAUAGGCACUUUUUCAUCUCAGUGUAGUAGGAACGCUCAGUUUUUCAUUGUCAUCAUGUACUUUCAAUCGUUUUAACGCUGAAUUUCAAUACAGGACCUCGUUUACCAA